UUAAAUAAUUCUAAUUAAUAGAGCUUAAUUUCGACUUAAGUUUAGGGCUACCCUAUUUAAU
rnacentral:tRNA from 1 species